UUCAGUUGCGCUGACUCUAUUCCUGGCCUUAGCGAUAAUCUGGUUUAUCCACGAACACGGCGGACAAAAUGUAGCGCAUGAGGCUCGCCACGAACUUCAUGUAUUCCAAAGUCCACGGUUAUACAACCUUACGCAUGAGGUCCUACCCAAACUUAGCAUCAGUGUUCAGAGUUCUGAGUCUGAGACCGAGGAUGUUCCUAAUGGUGAGCCUAGCAUUGAUUGGCGUACAGCUCGACGCUUGUGGUUCGAUGAGGGGAAGGUGGCCAAGGCCGAGGGCGAACCAAGCUUUGAUUGGCGAACCACUCGACGCUUAUGGUACGUUGAGUGAAAUGUAUGCAAGCGCCAUCAAUAUCUUAUAUGUAAAAAAUAUAGUAGACUGUAAACAUAAAACACGAUGUUUUGUAAACUGGACUGCAUGAACUUCUAGGUAAUCAAUAUCUGGACUGCAUGAACUUCUAGAUAUGGUAUACAAUUCAGUUUGAAUUAAAUUUUAUUUCAAAAAAUGUAUCAAACUAUCCAAAAUAAACACACUCAAACCCCGUGAUGAGGACAUCAAACCAGUAGCCAAUCCAUAGCACCAUAAAACGGAUGCAAAUGGCCAGCUAAACCCAACAAGGACAUGUGUCUUUCAUAGACUAUGCCGCAACCUACCAGAAGGAGAUGACCAACAGACCUACAUGUCCAGACACUCAAAUCAUCAGUCUUACGUCGAAUUGGAAUUGGGUCCAUAUCAUCUCAGACCAAACCGGAAUCAAGUUUACAACCCAGCUGAUUCCUGGCUACCUUGCAAGUGAAGGCCAUUCAGACCCAGUGCCAUUGUUCAAUUCACGUUGGCUCAGCCACGGAGAGUUAGGGCAUGAAACAGCUUGGGAAAGAUUCUCUGCUCAUUUAGAGCACGCCUCGAAGUGGAAUCAGCAAAAUAUCAUUUCACAUGGAGGAGAUAUUCAGCUCUUAAGUUGGGUAAUUACCAACAUACCCCAUUUGAAUCUACACUAACUAAAUGGAGGUUUGCAGCCAAACCAGAAGGAAUUAGGCAAUGAACCGACUUGGUUUGUAAUCUUGACCCAUCAGAGAAACCAAGAAAAAUGGAUUCAUCAAGGCCAGUUCAGAUGUGAAAGUUAUUCAGUUUCCAAAUCGGAUAGUUCUCGACAUGUCUCAUCUCGAACCUUACUAUAACUAGGGUACCAUAAGGACAUCUCAAAAUUUAUUCUCAGCCAUUGUAUCAGGAUGAUUCAAUCUGGGCCACUCUUACACCAAGACCUUCCAUAUUUGGACCUAAGUGGAUUCACACGGGACCAAUUGUUUAGAUACUUUUAAUGAAAAAAAAAUCCGAGAUACUUUCAUUUAUUCUACAUACUCUACUGAACUAAGAGAAUUCCAAAUUUACCUUUUUACUUUCUCUCUAAUUUCUAAAUACUCUGUUCGCGGAUACUCCUUCUGCGGACAAGAUCGCCAUGUUCGAGAUGUCGAAAAAGUUAUAUUUCCCAAAUAUAAGAAUAAAUGAUGAAACCAGUGAUCUAGACAAUUAUGUGGCCCAGUACAACCAGUGUAUGCUUACUACAACUAUCCAGAAACAAUUCUUGGAAGCUAUCAUUGCAAUGGUAUCAGCUCAACUCUGAUCCGGUCCGUCCUGCAAUGGUACAUCAACUUGCCCAAUGGAUCGAUACAUUCCUUCGCAGCUCUAACCGACCAGUUUGUAAGAAAAUUUGCAUGCACAAGAAACCAAGCUGAAUCCCUGCGUAACUAUACAAUAUGUUUUAACCAGGAAAAGGUAUUCUACCUUCAAGAGAGACAUGUUGCUUGAUGCUGAUAUGUACAAGGAGUUAAUCAAGUAUCAGUGCAGAACCAUGGCAGACGUCACAUCCCGAGCAUGGGCAGAAGUAAAAUGGGAGGAAGAUUCAGCAUACCAGUUCAAGCAUUUCCAAAAGCAUGAAUCCUAAGUUCCUGAGAAAUACGAAAAACGAAAAAGACAAUAAACCCUAUCAUAAGCCAGAGAAAUAAGUAGAUAGUACAUCGUGGGAGAUACCACAAUCGACCUAUAGACAAAACUGAAGGAAUGGUAAUACAUACAUGUCAGACAUCUCUAAUCUAUCAAUCUCAAAUCGAAAUUAAUCAACAUUCUGAGUUUGAUAAGUCCCUCAAAUUAAGUUACCCAAGAAGAUGAAAAUACCAAAAACAUUAUGAGAUAUACAUUGAUGGUGUGUAUUUUAUAUAGACUAAGAGAUAGAAUUUAACACAAGACCGUAAUGGAAAUAACAAAAUAGGAGUCGAACUUAGAUUUAGUUAACGAAGGAGAGACGCCUCCAUGGAUCUUCAUUGCUUCAGCAUCUUCGAUCAACCUUCUCCUCUCUGAAGCUGCUACUAUCCUCCUCCAUGACUUCGAAGGCCAUAGCUCCUCCACCGUCGCGGUCCAGAUCUCCUCCCAACCCUCCGCCGCUAAAACUUCCUCUGCUUGGUUCUCUCUCUCCGCUUGAACCGCUGGAGCCUCCCGACCCCCACAGGCCCUCCAGACGCAUCUUUCAUUCCUACUCUCUCCCCUUUAUCUUGCUGUUUCUGUGUCUCUUUGUUGCAUCUGGUUUGUCCACGAGUCUCUUAUUUUUCUGAGUUUCUUAACCUCGUUCGCCGUCGAUAGCUACAAGAGAUGGUGUCGGUGCAGUCUCUUAAUACUUUUGGCUCUUGUGUAGCCCUUGUCCAUCUCUUAUGACUUCACUAGUUCAAUGAAUAUCUCAGGCUGAUCAAAUCAAAAGCAGAUGAUCUUGCUCUCCUUGGCAAACCAAUGAGGAUCUCACCGAAAGAAUACUUGCAGGACUUGGUGAUGAGUACAAGCCUGAAGUUGAUGCUAUCCAUGGCCGUGAUGUGGCCAUCUCGUCAGAACUCCAUGAACGCCUACUAAACCGGGAAGCUAUUAUCAUAUCCACUGAGACAGCUCCAGUCACUCCGAUUGUUGCUCAUGCUGCAGAUACUCGUCAAAACCACAACAGCAAACAGAACUGGCGCAACAAAAACAAUCAACAAUGGCGUAACAACAACAAUCAGACUCACCACUAUCAGAACAACAACCAGCAGCGCUCCUCCAAGUAGAGUUCUCUUCUUUUAUCUUUCUUUCUGGAACUGUUUCGCAUGUUUUUAGUUUUAACGGAAAUGAUUUAAACUUGUUGUAGAGGAGUUGGCAUCUUCUUUGUACCCUGAUUUUUCACGAUCGUCUUCUUGCUGCUUCAGGUAAUAUUAUUAUCUGACGAUGGUCGUAAUCAGAAAGUGAUUCAUUUCCUUUUUUUGUGGCAGUGAUGAUUUAGGGGUUUCUGAAGAGAAGCUUGCUGCUUAUAUCAGAUAGAGAGAGAAAACUUACCAAGAGAUUCUCCAAAGCCAUGAUCUGUUACGGGAGAGACUUGGCAAGAACAAUCGGAAACUGAAACUCGCAAGACGCCAAAUCUUGAGGUUUUUUAUUUGUUUUCAAAUCGAGAUCAGGAUUGAUUCUUGUGUUGUGCUACUUAUAUUCGAUCCAUAAAGAGAUAUUAUUCAACUAUUAGAUUCUAACCCCUUUUAGUAUUUUUUGACAAAAAAAAUCAGCUAUACUCCUGGAUCAUUUGCGGAUGUCAAUUUGAGCGAUUACCAUAUUCCAAAGACGACGUCGAUCCUCAUAGUUGGUCCGAAAGGAGCUGGGAAGAGUAGUCUUGUUAAUAGAAUUACAAGAGUGGUCCAAGACGAGGAGUUUGCCCCAGCUAGAGCUCAAGAAUCAUGUACACAUAUAAUUGGAUAAUUCAUUUUCUUGUCUUUUAAAGAUGAAGACGACGAGAUCAGUGUUUUGUUGCUCUCAAUUUUUGCAGAUGGUAUGCCGUCUAAUGGAGGCACGUUCUUUCUUCAGGAAUAUAUGAUCCCAAGAGGAGGUUCUGCUUCAUUUUGCCUCUGUGACACGCGUGGCUUGAGCCAAAUCUCGUCAUCCGAUAACACUACUAUGAUUGAGCAGUGGAUUAAAAAAGGUGUUCAUCACGGCGAGCCUGUGAUCUGGUCUUUUCUUCUUCUCUCUUGUUUUAUACUCUUCUUGGCUUUAAUUAGUUUUUUUUUUUGUGUUAACAUGACGAGUUUGUAAUUUUGGUCAGGACAUCCGAUGACUCGGAUUUGAAGGAUAGAUUGAUCCGAGAUGGUUGUACAGGUUGUGAGAUAAGGAAAGUGAACUCCAUUAUAUUUGUUGUUAAUGCGGUUGAAAUGAUGGAGAGUGAAUCGAGCUAUGCCCAUAUGGUCUCGACUGCUUUUAACUCUCCUUUACUAUCGUUUAAAGGUUGGUGAGUCCUCACAGAAUGGUGUUUUUCUUUUGUUCUUUUUAAAAAUUUCAAAGAAGUCAUAAUAUGAUUUCCAGAUGACAAGCCAGCAGUAGUUAUCACUCAUGGAGAUAUACUUUCAAGGGAGGAACGGGCCCGAGUUCAGGUUCUCGUUGGAGAACUUCUUGGUAUCCCACCUGACAAACAGAUUUUCGACAUUCCAGGUCACAAGUCUAUAUUUUUUCUUUUGUGACAGGCUAUAUAUCUUAUUGGUUACUAAUACGAAGUACAGAUAGCCGGGACGCAGCCACAGCACUAACAGUCUGCAACUUGCUACGGCAUUGCCUUGAACACGCUGAUAAAAAUCUUCGGUUUUGUCCCAAGAGGAACUUCACCAUAUCGAAGGUUUCUACUUCAUCUUUAGAUCUUACAUCUUUUGAUACCAAAACAUACCAUGAUUGGUUCAUCAGUCUAGGGACUGAUGACUGAUUUGGUGUUGAUGCGGUUCAAUAAUUUUACGUACCAAGAAAAGCAAAAAAAAAAAGAUAAAUCUUUGGGAAAAUAAUUAGCUUCUUUUAAUUCAGAUGGAAUAAAAUGAAUUCAUACUAACCAUAUGACUAUAUGAGGGAAUGGUUUGGUUUUUUUUUUUUUUUUUUUUUUUUGUAGUGGAUCAGUUUAAUUGAUUUGGAUUGAACAGAUGCAAGACCAUCUAAUUGUUAUUAUUUUUUUAGGUGGAAGGAGGCGACAAAAACAGGACAAGGAUGACUAUGUUUUCAGUUGCGCUGACUCUAUUCCUGGCCUUAGCGAUAAUCUGGUUUAUCCACGAACACGGCGGACAAAAUGUAGCGCAUGAGGCUCGCCACGAACUUCAUGUAUUCCAAAGUCCACGGUUAUACAACCUUACGCAUGAGGUCCUACCCAAACUUAGCAUCAGUGUUCAGAGUUCUGAGUCUGAGACCGAGGAUGUUCCUAAUGGUGAGCCUAGCAUUGAUUGGCGUACAGCUCGACGCUUGUGGUUCGAUGAGGGGAAGGUGGCCAAGGCCGAGG
rnacentral:lncRNA from 1 species